rnacentral:rRNA from 1 species
UACGGAGGAUUCUAGCGUUGUCCGGAUUUAUUGGGUUUAAAGGGUGCGUAGGCGGAUGACUAAGUCAGGGGUGAAAGCCGGCAGCUUAACUGUCGAAAUGCCUUUGAAACUGGUCAUCUUGAAUAUAGUUGAGGUAGGCGGAAUGUGACAUGUAGCGGUGAAAUGCUUAGAUAUGUUACAGAACACCGAUUGCGAAGGCAGCUUACUAAACUAUCAUUGACGCUGAGGCACGAAAGCGUGGGGAUCAAACAGG